rnacentral:rRNA from 1 species
GACGAACGCUGGCUGCGUGCUUAACACAUGCAAGUCGAACGCUGAAGCCGACAGCUUGCUGUUGGUGGAUGAGUGGCGAACGGGUGAGUAACACGUGAGUAACCUGCCCCUGAUUUCGGGAUAAGCCUGGGAAACCGGGUCAAUACCGGAUACGACCAUCCCUCGCAUGAGGGUUGGUGGAAAGUUUUUCGAUCGGGGAUGGGCUAGCGGCCUAUCAGCUUGUUGGUGGGGUAAUGGCCUACCAAGGCGACGACGGGUAGCCGGCCUGAGAGGGCGACCGGCCACACUGGGACUGAGACACGGCCCAGACUCCUACGGGAGGCAGCAGUGGGGAAUAUUGCACAAUGGGGGAGACCCUGAUGCAGCGACGCAGCGUGCGGGAUGACGGCCUUCGGGUUGUAAACCGCUUUCAGCAGGGAAGAAGCGAAAGUGACGGUACCUGCAGAAGAAGUACCGGCUAACUACGUGCCAGCCGCCGCGGUAA